rnacentral:rRNA from 1 species
UACGAAGGGGGCUAGCGUUGUUCGGAAUUACUGGGCGUAAAGGGCGCGUAGGCGGUGUGUCAAGUCAGGCGUGAAAGCCCCGGGCUCAACCUGGGAACAGCGCUUGAGACUGGCACGCUCGAGUUCGGGAGAGGAUGGUGGAAUUCCCAGUGUAGAGGUGAAAUUCGUAGAUAUUGGGAAGAACACCAAUGGCGAAAGCAGUCUGCUGGGCUUACUCUGACACUGAGAUGCGAAAGCGUGGGGAGCGAACGGG